CGCAGACAUGAGAGGAUCGUGUGAAGUGUGUUCCGUACGAGUGACUCUGUUUUCGGGAUAAAUAACUUGCUGAAGUCGACACGAUACUGUUUCCCUGGAGGAGAAGAUGAGUGCGUGGGAAAGCAAAGCUGCGGGCCCAGUGUGGAGGAGAAGACAGGCGCACAGUCCCUGAAUUAAGGAAGUUUGCGUCUCUUCACAGCUCUGAUGAAAAUGGCCGGCGGAGUGAGGCCGGAUUCCUGUGCACAAUGACUCACUGCACAUUACGCUGAGACUAGCUGAAAGUCCGCAUUUGCAGUGUGGAAAAACGACGCCAUUGUACCUGCCUGUACUAUGACUUACUAAGACCCUGAGCCAGUAUGACGGAGCUUCCAGUUCAUCCAUACGGACCUUGCAUCAGCAUUGAGGAGUUCACGAGUCGGCAGAGAAGAAAGAGGGUAAGCUGAUUGAAGCGGGACAGAUGAAAUGGAUCCAUCCUUCCACAGCGAGGAGCUCACUGACCUGUGUGCCACACUUCAAAUAAGACUAGAGGCUACACUGGAUCUCACAGCUACACACCACAGACCUCUACACACUGGGGCAGAUUCGGACAGAGUCCCACAAAGAACAUAUGACCCAGAGGCUGCAAAGAGACAUUUCAAGCUUCACCUGAUUAGCUUUUCACUGGCUAGGCUAGUUGUGUUUGUACAAUAUUUGUGCUGUAUGUAAAUAAAGUUUUGACUCAACA